rnacentral:rRNA from 1 species
CCUACGGGGGGCAGCAGUGAGGAAUAUUGGUCAAUGGGCGAGAGCCUGAACCAGCCAAGUCGCGUGAAGGAUGGAGGAUCUAUGGGUUGUAAACGUCUUUUAUAUGGGAAUAAAGUGAGGAACGUGUUCCGUUUUGUAUGUACCAUAUGAAUAAGCAUCGGCUAACUCCGUGCCAGCAGCCGCGGUAAUACGGAGGAUGCGAGCGUUAUCCGGAUUUAUUGGGUUUAAAGGGUGCGUAGGUGGUUAAUUAAGUCAGCGGUGUAAGUUUGUGGCUCAACCAUAAAAUUGCCGUUGAAACUUGUUGACUUUCGUAUAUUUGAGCUCGGCGGAAUGCGUGGUGUAGCGGUGAAAUGCAUCGCUAUCACGCAGAACUCCGAUUGCGCAGGCAGCUUACUAAACUAUAACUGACACUGCCGCACGAACGCGUGGGGAUCAAACCGGAUUAGAUACCCUUGUAGUC